UAGUUAUUAUAGUUUGUUUAUUUAUUUUAGUUUUGUGUCUGUGUAUUUGUGGUGAUCUUCUCCGUAAUCACAGAAGGCACUUUCUAUCAUCUGAUUCAUCAGGCUCCUAUGAAGCAACCUGCCUGCAAGCCUAAUUGUUGCAAAAGUAUGCAUUGCCCUCAUCCGAAAUGCCACUCGGGCCAGAAGAUGAAACCCCACGCUGGGUGGUGUGGUUGCUGCCCAAAAUGCAUGACGCAGCUAAAAGAAGGAUCUCCAUGCCAGCCGAAGCCAAAACAUCCUUGUCCGAAUAUGCCUUCAGCAGAAUGCGGUUGCGGAUUAAAAUGCAUGCAUGGAAAAUGUUGUAAACACUGAAGGUCAAAAUUCUGCCAAACGAUUAAUGUUUUGAAACAUAACAAAUUCUUUCAGUACUGAAUUGAAACCCAAUGAAUUUGAACAGGAAGGAAUAACUCAUUGUAAUACAUGUAUCUCAGGAAAUAGCUCUGCUGUUUCUUCAUUGACAAAUUUUUAUUUUGUUUUACAUUUUUAAAUAUUUUGUACUCAGAAUUUUCUUUGAAUAAAAAUAAUUUGUUAGUCGA